rnacentral:rRNA from 1 species
CACGUGGAUAACCUGCCUCAAGGCUGGGGAUAACAUUUGGAAACAGAUGCUAAUACCGAAUAAAACUUAGUAUCGCAUGAUACAAAGUUAAAAGGCGCUACGGCGUCACCUAGAGAUGGAUCCGCGGUGCAUUAGUUAGUUGGUGGGGUAAAGGCUUACCAAGACAAUGAUGCAUAGCCGAGUUGAGAGACUGAUCGGCCACAUUGGGACUGAGACACGGCCCAAACUCCUACGGGAGGCUGCAGUAGGGAAUCUUCCACAAUGGGCGCAAGCCUGAUGGAGCAACGCCGCGUGUGUGAUGAAGGCUUUCGGGUCGUAAAGCACUGUUGUAUGGGAAGAUUUGCUAAAAUAGGGAAUGAUUUUAGUUUGACGGUACCAUACCAGAAAGGGACGGCUAAAUACGUGCCAGCAGCCGCGGUAAUACGUAUGUCCCGAGCGUUAUCCGGAUUUAUUGGGCGUAAAGCGAGCGCAGACGGUUGAUUAAGUCUGAUGUGAAAGCCCGGAGCUCAACUCCGGAAUGGCAUUGGAAACUGGUUAACUUGAGUGUUGUAGAGGUAAGUGGAACUCCAUGUGUAGCGGUGGAAUGCGUAGAUAUAUGGAAGAACACCAGUGGCGAAGGCGGCUUACUGGACAACAACUGACGUUGAGGCUCGAAA